GUCGACUCCAGUGCGCCUUGUGUGGAACAGCAGCCAAAAGUUUCAGGGGCUGAGCAUGAAUGACCUAUUACUAAAGGGGCCUGAUGUUCUGAAUCCCAUACGGGCAGUUCUGCUGAGAUUUAGAAGAGGAGUGCAUGCAGCUCUAGGUGACAUAAAAAAGAUGUACAACUCAGUGUGGUUGGAGGACCGGGAGAUGCAUCUCCAUCGGUUUCUCUGGAGAGACAACCAAGAAGAGGACAUUAUGGCGUACGCUAUAACCAGAGUGAAUAUUGGUGAUCGACCAGCAGGGUGUAUUGUACAACUGGCAAUGCGGGAGACUGCAAAGUUACCAACGUUCAUCCACCUAAAGGAGGAACGACGAGUUAUAGAGGAGGACAGUUACGUCGAUGAUAUCCUAACAUCCAGCAAUGAUCUAAAAAGUUUAAACAAGACGACAAAAGGAGUGGAAGAAAUCCUGAAUGCGGGAGGGUUUUUCCUCAAGCAAUGGAUUCGAUCAGGGCAAAGUGGGAGGCAGACACAAGCACAAUUGGGAAAAGAGAAAGUCUUCAUACUACCGAAUCAGAGGAGAGAGGAGGACAACAAGGCUCUUGGUGUCGGCUACCUGGUGGAGGAGGACAAGCUCCAUGUAAUGACAGCCAUUAAUUUUUCAAGGAAGAAAAAGAAAAUGAGACUUGGUCAGAAUCUUCUUGAAGACGAGGUAAAAACGAAAACUCCUAAUCCCUUAACCAGAAGAGAAUUACUAAGCCAAGUGGCAAGCCUGUAUGACCCAAUGGGAUUCGUCACACCAACUAAACAAAAAGGAGCAAUUCUGGUAAGGAAAGCCUUCCAAGAAGGUGGAGAUGGGGGCAGGACCAAAGACACUUGGGACAAACCACUGUCUGACAGCCUCAGAGAGGAAGCGAUCAAGCUGUUUGAGGAGUAUGCACGCCUUGGUCACAUUACCUUUCAUAGAAGCCUCACACCAGUUGGUUGGAUUGGUAAGCCGUGGGGAAUAACAUUCUCGGAUGGAAGUGACAAAACCUACGGUGCUGUGGUGUACUUCCGGUGGGAAACACACCAAGGUGUCCAAGUUAGAUUCGUUGAGUCAAAGGCAAAGCUCACUCCACUUGAUCAAAAAGGAGACCCAGUUAAGGCAGAAAUGUGUGGUGCAGUUUUUGCAGCUCGACUUCGGA
ensembl:lncRNA